UACAGAGGUCCCAAGCGUUGUUCGGAUUCAUUGGGCGUAAAGGGUGCGUAGGCGGUGAGGUAAGUUGGAUGUGAAAUCCCGGGGCUCAACCCCGGAACUGCCUUUGAUACUGGGUAUCUCGAGUCCGAGAGAGGUGAGUGGAAUUCCGAGUGUAGAGGUGAAAUUCGUAGAUAUUCGGAGGAACACCAGUGGCGAAGGCGGCUCACUGGCUCGGUACUGACGCUGAGGUGCGAAAGCGUGGGGAGCAAACAGG
rnacentral:rRNA from 1 species